rnacentral:tRNA from 1 species
GGGAUUGUAGCUCAAUUGGUAGAGCACCUGAUUGUCGAUCAGGAUGGUGAGAGUUCAAGUCUCUUCAGUCCCG